GACGAACGCUGGCGGCGUGCUUAACACAUGCAAGUCGAACGCUGAAGCUCAGCUUGCUGGGUGGAUGAGUGGCGAACGGGUGAGUAACACGUGAGUAACCUGCCCUCUUCUUUGGGAUAACGCCCGGAAACGGGUGCUAAUACUGGAUAUUCACUGAUUCUCGCAUGGGGGUUGGUGGAAAGGUUUUUUCUGGUGGGGGAUGGGCUCGCGGCCUAUCAGCUUGUUGGUGGGGUGAUGGCCUACCAAGGCUUUGACGGGUAGCCGGCCUGGGAGGGUGACCGGUCACCUUGGGACUGAGCUACGGCCCAGACUCCUACGGGAGGCAGCAGUGGGGAAGAUUGCACAAUGGGCGAAAGCCAGAUGCAGCGACGCCGCGUGAGGGAUGGAGGCCUUCGGGUUGCAAACCUCUUUCGCUCAUGGUCAAGCCGCAGCUUGGGGUUGUGGUGAGGGUAGUGGGUAAAGAAGCGCCGGCUAACUACGUG
rnacentral:rRNA from 1 species